ACGGGGUGCAGCAGGCAGCGAAACCUAUGCAAUGCGGGAAACCGUGACAGGGGGAUCCCAAGUGCUCAUGCAUUGCAUGGGCUGUUCUUUGUGUCUAAGUAACCAGAGGAGAAAGGGCCGGGCAAGACCGGUGCCAGCCGCCGCGGUAACACCGGCGGCUCGAGUGGUGACCGUUAUUAUUGGGUCUAAAGGGUUUGUAGCCGGCCGGAUAAGUCUCUUGAGAAAUCUGGCAGCUUAACUGUCAGGCUUUCAGGAGAUACUGUCUGUCUCGAGGCCGGGAGAGGUGAGGGGUACUUCGGGGGUAGGGGUGAAAUCCUGUAAUCCUUGAAGGACCACCAGUGGCGAAGGCGCCUCACCAGAACGGCUUCGACAGUGAGGGACGAAAGCUGGGGGAGCAAACCGGAUUAGAUACCCGGGUAGUCCCAGCCGUAAACGAUGCGCGUUAGGUGUAUCGGUGAUCACGAGUCACCGAGGUGCCGAAGGGAAACCGUGAAACGCGCCGCCUGGGAAGUACGGUCGCAAGGCUGAAACUUAAAGGAAUUGGCGGGGGAGCAC
rnacentral:rRNA from 1 species